rnacentral:lncRNA from 1 species
GAAGGUGGAUCUUUUUAAGAUGACCAUUCGCUCAUUUGAAGAAGAAAAACAAAAAACAAAAAAAAAUAAUAAAAAUAAAACAAUUUUUACAAAGUAAUGGGAUUCAAAGAGAGAAAAGAUUUUUUUUUUGUCAAAAUGUUGAUCCAAUCAGAUUGGUAAAAAAAAAUAAAAUAAAACCCCCACACAAAUUAAAGAGGAAUAAUAAAAAUUGCAAAAAUUAAAAAACUUUUGCAAAUUUUUUUAUUUUUCCUUUUUUCUUUUAUAUCAUGUGAACUAAAAACAGUCUUCUGUUAGGGGAUGGGGGCGAGGGGGAUACCUGAUGACAUUAACAAUUUAAUAACAUUAACAUUGUUGCCAAAGAGGUGGUCUCUUUGCUGAAAAUGGGUUUCAAGAAAAAUCUAUUUUUAUAAAAUAUAAAGAAUUUUUACAAGAGAAUCUGGAUUUGAGAAAAAAAUAUUUUGACUGGCUAAUUUAGGGGAAAUUGACAACUUUGUCGCGUUCAUACUGCACUGGUAACUUUUUAGNNAGAGAUCAAGAUGUGUGUUUUAAACUGGAUUCGUAGACUGUUUUUUGAAGGAUGGGCUAUAAACAGAUGAUCUUCAUAUCUUUUCAUAGCAUGUAAUAAUAAUAUAAAAAAUUAUUAAUUACUAGGGGAAAGGAGUGUUCGUUCUACCCAGGGUACCACAGUUCCCCACAGUCAAAACCCAAAAGCAAGGAGAUGAGUUGAAAGACAGUUUUUCUUUAAGUCAUCAGUAUGGGAUGUCAGCAGAACAAAAAUUAAAAAGAUUAAUUUUCCUUUCAAUCUAAAACUUCCUUAGUUUGAGCAGUAGGUGCUACGAAAUUAUUUACAUAUCUUAGUAUCAUAGUUAAAUGUAAUGUGUUUAGGAGAGGAAAACAAAAGAUACAUUUGCUUUAAAUUCAUUAAGGAAUUUUCAAAUUCACUUUGUAGCCCAUGCUGAUAGAAUUGGGCUGUGUUGGUACAUUUGAAACACUGUUUAUGUUGCUUGAAACACUUAUUUAUUUAAUCGCAGAUGUGAUGAUGCCUAUGGCCGAGAUCAAAUAUAGCUAGAUUGGCUAGACUACGUAUUUGUUUACUUAAACUAUGGGAAGAAGCAUAUUAUUGUGUCAUUCUGUUGUGUGUGUAUGUGUAUAUACAAUAUAAAUAUAUAUAUAUAAAGUUAUUUUUUCUUUGGGUUAAUUUAUUAUAAGUUGUAACACUUGGCUAGUUUUGUUUGUAUAUGUCUUAAAAUGUUUUCUUAUGAUAUUUAAGUGACAGUUAAAGAGGUAUCAAGGUAACUUGUGUAGAACUAUUGUUUGAUAUAUUGUCAUGUUUGUUGUGAAUAUUUUUUUCUUACUGCACAGUAGAAAAAUAAAAACAACUGGGUCUUUCUUUUAAUGUAAUUCAGAUUGGGGAAAACAA